rnacentral:lncRNA from 12 species
UGAUGCUAAAGUAACACUGUGUCCAGUGCAACUAAAACACAGGGCAUGUUUGUAAGCAAGAUUCUUGGUGUCAGUUUUUCUCUGAUAUGUUAUACACAAGGAUUACAGUCAUUUCACAAGAGUCAGCGAUGAGACAAGAACAAAAUUACAAGGAAGUGCUUGCUAGAAAAGAAGACUAACUAGCAAAACAAGUGUUGCUCCUUCCAGAACUAGACAGAUGCCUCAUUAUUUCAUCAGUCAACAUUGUCUGCAAGAAGAAACUGCAAAAGAAGUUCAACAACCCUGACAGCAAAAAAAAAAAAAGAAAAAGAAAAAAGAAAAGAAAAGAAAAUGUAUGUUUUUAUAUCUUCAGGAAUGAAUCAUCACUAAUGUGUGUGAUAUAAAGGUCUCUAAUACAAAAGAUAAUUGCAGGUUUGCAUCCAUUGGAUCCAGGUUUCUCAAACAAUAUGAUGUUGGUCUGCCGUUAUAAUAUUAUAAUAUAAAUCUGCUU